rnacentral:rRNA from 1 species
AUUGAACGCUGGCGGCAUGCCUUACACAUGCAAGUCGAACGGUAACAGCACUUCGGUGGCUGACGAGUGGCGAACGGGUGAGUAAUACAUCGGAACGUGCCCGAGAGUGGGGGAUAACGCAGCGAAAGCUGUGCUAAUACCGCAUACGAUCUACGGAUGAAAGCAGGGGACCGCAAGGCCUUGCGCUCAUGGAGCGGCCGAUGGCAGAUUAGGUAGUUGGUGGGAUAAAAGCUUACCAAGCCGACGAUCUGUAGCUGGUCUGAGAGGACGACCAGCCACACUGGGACUGAGACACGGCCCAGACUCCUACGGGAGGCAGCAGUGGGGAAUUUUGGACAAUGGGGGAAACCCUGAUCCAGCCAUGCCGCGUGCAGGAUGAAGGCCUCGGUUGUAACUGCUUUGUACGGUAACGAAAGGUACGUUUCUAAUAAAGUAAAGACUACAUGACGGUACCGUAACGAAUAAGACACCGGCUAACUACGUAGCCAGCAGCC